UUUAAAUAUCAACGUAGACUAGUACAUGCUUUCUUUGUUCAUUGCAUGACUGUCAUUUUUCAUAAUCAUCGUGUAAAUGUAUUUUCACGCUUUAGUGCUUAUUUUAUAUCAUAAUUAGCAAUCUUUUAUGUUCAAAACAACAUUUAAAUUGUCAAUUUUUCUAAAUUAAUUCUACUUAACCAACUUAAAGUUAUCUUUGUACCUAAGUACUUUCCUUGUUUAAAUAAUUCUUAAAUGGAACAAUAUUAAUGUACAAAAUACGUUUAAUAUCGUUGCUAUUAAAAUUAUUCAGCUUAAAAUAUUCAAUUUUACUAUUUUUUUAGAUAGUUUUUUAAAACAACUACCUACCAUAAAUUUAUCUUGUUCUUUGUUCUUUUUCUAAAUUUAUUUUGCUAAAUUCACUUUUAUUGUGUGUAAUUUGCUGACAGCCACAUCUUAGAUUGCUAAGCUUGCUUGCUAUCCACUUCCCAUCUUCAAUCAAGCUAAGGAAUCGGCAUGUGGCAGUCAGACUGGGAAUUCGGACAAUUCUUGAAAUGACUAAUUCCGGGUUCCAGGGUUCACCCUUCGAGUUCUACAACCGCAGGACCCACUACCGGUCCUGUACUUACCUCUACCGCUUCACCUUUCGGGUUCUACAACCCGCUGGAUCCACUUUCGGUCCUAUACUUACCCCACCGCUUCUGCUGCCCUGCUGCGCGCGCCGGUGUACCCCGUGUCGUCGUGGGAAGAGUUACAGGGAAGUGGUAGUUUUCCUACUGCACCAAGGGUGCUCAGCCAGUAUCAAAUUACCUGCGACCCAGAGAUCCGAUCUAUGUACUUGCUAGGGAUUUAAUGUCAAUAAACUUGGUUUUAUUUCUAUAUACCGUUUUAUUUACCCUAGUAAGUACAACCUAUUUGAUUCGCGUGAUAAGAACGUGACAAUGGCGCCCAACUAAGGAAAUACUGAGCUGAGUAUCCUUUUUGCUGGUUUUAGCAUUUUUGGUCAUCUUUGGUGUUGGUCUGAUUAUUUUGUCUAGCUUUAAGUGAAUUGUAACUGCAACUUUUGUGUGCUGUGGUUGCUUUGUGGGAAUACCUAACUAAUUCUCUUUCAAGGUGAUUGCAUACAAUUAAAAACUCAAAAUCGAACCUACCACAUCGCACAGAAGGAAAUAUUUGAUUUUGCACUGCCAACCUCUGUCUAUCCCUGUGUUUUAAUUGUUGUGUACUUUUGAUAGUAGCAUUUGUUUUCUUGUUAUUUUCCUUCUGCCGUUUCCUGUGUUUUAGUUAUUAAGACUUCAGGUACUUGCAACACUUACUCAAAAAAUAACUAUUCAACUAAACUAAUUACAAUUUAAACAUAAAGUAAUAGAGAUGUCUCGUCCAAUUAAAUAUUUAUCACUUCAGAAAGAUGAACUCCUUUAUGAAGAGGUACAUGGCAUGUCAAGGAUAUUAAACUUACAAACUAUUCUAAAUAAUUAUAUCUAAACUUAAUAAACAAAAAAUUACCUAACUAAAAUAAAACUUUCUAUAUUUACAAAACUUCCUUGCUGGGAUGGAAGUGAGAGAAAAACAUAGAAUCCCCCAGCUGCUUACUAAUUCUCGAGCAGACUGUAAGAGUCAGUCAAGAGAUUGAUGUGUAAUACCAUCAAACGCCUUAGGCCUGCCAAAAACUUAAAUCUUGAGCAUGGCAUGCGUCUUCUAAUAUCUUCUAAUAUUCUCUAAAAAUACCUUACAUACUACCUUAAAAAAAAAAAAAAACUAAAACUACACUUACUAAAACUAUACUAAAAAAUCCAAAACUAGCCUAAAACAAUGUCUUACUUACUAAAACUACCUACCGUCUUAAAUAUAUUUACUUAUAUAUAGUAUUUCUAAUUUUUUUUUUACAAAAAAAAAAUAUUGAAUCUCCAGGCCCUACCCCUAGGACAUUCUAUUUAUUUUAUCUUCGGCCCUACCCCGAAGAUAAGAAAAUUAUACUAUAAAAAGAAAAAAAAAAAACGGUUACCUUAAAUCUCCUAUUGAUUACGUGUGAGUACUAAGCUGCGGUUAAAAGUCUAGUACUCUUUUUGGAAAGGACGCAGUCACUUAAAACGAAAUAAGAUAACUGUUUGUGUGUGAAAGGGAUGAAAGAAAGUAGGGGGGUGAAUGGAAGGGUUGAAAUGAAUGUGUACCACGUAAUUUUUAGAAUGGUCAAUAGUAAGAAGGACAGACUAGAUUACAUUUUAGUCAGCGGAUUUUCUUAGCGAAAAUCCUACCCAAAAAAGGGGGGUAUGUAACGCCUGCCGCGUUUUACUACUGAGUGUAAUUGCUCUUGUUUUUCUGUUAGGAACUAUCAAAAAGUUAUCAUUGAAAACACUUAAAAACUACUGCUUAAAACUAAAAUAUUAUUACAUAAAUAAACUUAUACUAAUUAAUUUAACAAAACAUAGCUAUUUACAAAAUAAUUCCGUUAAUAUUGUACGACUUUAAUAAUUAUCACAUUGCGUAGGUAGCCGUACCUACAUUCCACAGCCGAGCCGUUACUCUUCCGGUCGGAUGUUCGACACAAUCCUUCUGCCUUUGUAGCGAGAACACCUCGAUUACUCGUAUAUUUUUUAAAUACGUUUUUUUACUAAUUUUGUCUACGAUAUAAUAAUUUAUAGUGUUGUGUUAUCCCCAUUAAUUGGGGUUCACCCUUCGAGUUCUACAACCGCAGGACCCACUACCGGUCCUGUACUUACCUCUACCGCUUCACCUUUCGGGUUCUACAACCCGCUGGAUCCACUUUCGGUCCUAUACUUACCCCACCGCUUCUGCUGCCCUGCUGCGCGCGCCGGUGUACCC
rnacentral:lncRNA from 1 species